rnacentral:tRNA from 1 species
GGGUUUUUAGUUUAAUUGGUUAAAACAUCAGUCUCCAAAACUGAAAGAUGUUAGUUCGAAUCUAGCAAAACCUGCA